rnacentral:lncRNA from 1 species
GAGCAUUUGGAUGACACUAGACUUGAUUUCAUAAUGAACUACCUCAACUGGAGGCACUUGAAUACAAGGAGAGUAGGUAUAUAUGGAAGGAGAAAGUGCUCCUUCAACUGUCUAGGUGGAUCAUUCUCCUAAUUUCAAUACAUGUUUCUAGGUCUGUUGGCCCUAAAGGUUCGAAAGAUUUUUUUAAUUUCAAGAUCUAAGGGUUGAAUCUC